rnacentral:rRNA from 1 species
UGCAUUGUAAUGUAAACUUGGAAGCCUUGCUCAAGCUGGUAUUCAUUCGUACUGACGACCAGUCUGUAGACGCGGAUGCAUGCAGUGUAGCUGUGAAUGCGCAUAGCAUCUGAUGAAUCGUUCUCGCGGCCUCUGGACAUAGACUAAGUUCAUGCACAAAGGCGUGCGUGCCCACAGGAUUAGAUACCGUGUAGGCCCAUUCGUAAACGAUGUCUACUAUCUACUGGUGUCUUGAACACUGGACUCUCUCGGUUACGCAUUAAGUAGACCGCCUGGGGACUGCGGUCUCAAGGUUAAAACUAAAAUGAACUGGCGGAGGCCCUCACAACCGGUAGUGCAUGUAAUUUUAGGAGAUGCAACGCGAAGAACCCUACCUACUCUGAACAUCCCCGGAAGUCUUCAGAGAGGCAGGUGUGCCUUAAGGAACAGUGAGACAGGUCCUUCAUGGCUGUCGUCAGCUCCUGUUGUGACAGGUUGGGUUAAGUCCCCGCAACGAGCGCGACCCCUCUCGGUUUUCCCCAGCACGUAAUGGUGCGAACUCUAGCGAGACUGCGGAGUAUAAACCGGAUGAAAGUGGGGACGACGUCAAGUCAUCAUGCCCAUCAGGAGUAGGUCUUCACACGUGCUACAAUGGCGAGCACAGAGGGUCGCAAACCCCCGAGGUGGAGCCAAUCUCACAAAGCUCGUAGUAGUCCGUAUUUGAGUCUGCAACUGGACUCCAUGAAGUCGGAAUUGCUAGUAAUUGAGGAUCAGAAUGCCACGGUGAAUACGUUCCCGGGCCUUGUACACACCGCUCGUCACACCAUGGGAGUGGGCUGCAAAAGAAGUGGGUAGCUUAACCUUCGGGGGGGCGCUCACCACUUUGUGGUUCAUGACAGGGGCGAAGUCGUAACAAGGUAACCA